rnacentral:rRNA from 1 species
CUACUGGGGUAUCUAAUCCUGUUCGCUACCCAUGCUUUCGAGCCUCAGCGUCAGUUGCAGACCAGAGAGCCGCCUUCGCCACUGGUGUUCUUCCAUAUAUCUACGCAUUCCACCGCUACACAUGGAGUUCCACUCUCCUCUUCUGCACUCAAGAAAAACAGUUUCCGAUGCAGUUCCUCGGUUAAGCCGAGGGCUUUCACAUCAGACUUAUUCUUCCGCCUGCGCUCGCUUUACGCCCAAUAAAUCCGGACAACGCUUGCCACCUACGUAUUACCGCGGCUGCUGGCAC